AAGUCGUAACAAGGUUUCCGUAGGUGAACCUGCGGAAGGAUCAUUACAAAACAAAAUCCAAACCACACCAAAUGUGCUCUAUAAAUGCUGAGAAGCUGUCUUUGUGUGUGAAUAUGUUACUGUCUGUGUGAGGAGAAAAAUUUAUUUUUUCCUCCUCGCACUCUCACACACACACACACACACAAUCCUUCUUUUCAGCAUUGUCUUUGUUUAUCAAUUUUUUCAUUAACUCCUUGUUUAACCAACAACGGAUUACAAUGUUAAAACUUGAAACAAAAAACAAAACAAAAUGACAACUUUUAACGGUGGAUCUCUUGGCUCGU
rnacentral:misc_RNA from 1 species